AUUGAACGCUGGCGGUAUGCUCAACACAUGCAAGUCGAACGGAAACAGGUUUGUGGGUUCCGUCGACAGGAGAACGGGUGAGUAAGGGAUCGGAACGCAUCCAGAGGUAGGGGAUAAUGUAGCGAAAGCUAGGGUAAUUCCCUCUGAGAUCUGAGAUUGCAUGCGGGUGACCCAGCAGGAAUUUUUGGCCUUGUGCGUCUGUAUGCGCCGAGGCCUGAUUAGCUAGUUGGCAGGGUAAAGGCCUACCAAGGCGACGAUCCGUAGCUCGACUGAGAGGAUGAUCAGCCACACAGGAGCUGAGACACGGCCCAAACUACUACGAGAGGCAGCAGUGGGGAAUAUUAGGCAAUGGGGGCAAGCCUGAUCCAGCAAUGCCGCGUGCGCAGAGAAGGCCUUCAGGUUGUAAACCGCUUUUGUAGGGAACGAAAAGUCGCUGGCUAAUACCGUGUGAUGAUGACGGUACCGAAUGAAUAAGCACCGGCUAACUACGUG
rnacentral:rRNA from 1 species